GGGGGAGGGGGCUGGGACUCAGUUAUCUGGGGCUUGCCAGGUGGUGCUGAUGGUCUCUGAUGAAGCACCUGGAGCGUGAGGCUGGGCAUAGUCCCCAGAGGUAAUAAAUAAGUGGUGAUACAAGCUCACGUAGAACUUGGACCUGAGGUUGGUGAGAGCUGUUCUUAUGGGUUUUGUGAAGGCUCAACAGGGAUAGGAGUGCUCCCCUAAAAUCUAGUGGCUUAGGGCAGAUUUUGGACUGUUUUUAGGCUGUGCUCUUCCCUGGGAGGGACCUUUUUCAGUCAGAGUGCUGCAGGCUCCCUUUGUUACACUGUAGUUGAGUUGAAGUAACGGAGUUGCUGCAUGUCUAAGGAAUGAAUCUUGGUUCAAACAGUGUCUGUAGCAGAACUGGGACCAGAGUUCUUUAUCUUUACUCUUCAGACUCUACAGACUGCUAUGUCCACUCGACUUUGUUUGGGAAGGGGAUCAGCCUGAGCAGCAGCAACUGUAUUAGCAGGGCCAUAAGUCUGCUGUAAAGCAAUUUCACUGGUGCCAUCUCACUCCACUGAAGGAACUGAAAUAAGGACUCUUUGAAGAAGUGUUGAACUUGCAAAAAAGUUUCCCAGAUUGUUAGUGUUUGCCAACAAAUCUGUCUUGUUUUUGUAAUUUAGUAACAGCUGCUGUCUUCAUUAUCGCUUCUCUUAUUGCAGGCCUUUAUCUGAGUGAUACUGCAUAACAAUUUGCUCUACAGCUCUCAAGAAUAUCUGUGUAAAGCAGAGCUCUGGAUGCUAGUGGUCCAUGUCAAAUUUAAAACAGAAAUAGCACUUUUAAUUAAAGUAGACUUACAAGAAUUGUGGUACAUAUUAAAUAUCUACUAAAGGCAUAUUUUCUGUUCAAGAUAAAUCACAGUUCUCUUGCCUGUGUUUGAAAUAUUCUGAUAGAGGGUGCUGGUGCUUUAUUUUAACAUCUAAAAAUGGGUCAGCUUCACUUGCCUUUGUUUUUAAGUCUCACUGGAUUUUUUUUGUUGAUAAUAAACCCUUAGGAAAAGGCUGGAUUUUGUCCUUG
rnacentral:lncRNA from 1 species